UGGGGAAUAUUGCACAAUGGGCGAAAGCCUGAUGCAGCGACGCCGCGUGAGGGAUGACGGCCUUCGGGUUGUAAACCUCUUUCAGCAGGGAAGAAGCGAAAGUGACGGUACCUGCAGAAGAAGCACCGGCUAACUACGUGCCAGCAGCCGCGGUAAUACGUAGGGUGCGAGCGUUGUCCGGAAUUAUUGGGCGUAAAGAGCUUGUAGGCGGUUUGUCGCGUCUGCCGUGAAAAUCCGAGGCUCAACCUCGGACUUGCGGUGGGUACGGGCAGACUAGAGUGUGGUAGGGGAGACUGGAAUUCCUGGUGUAGCGGUGAAAUGCGCAGAUAUCAGGAGGAACACCGAUGGCGAAGGCAGGUCUCUGGGCCACUACUGACGCUGAGAAGCGAAAGCAUGGGGAGCGAACA
rnacentral:rRNA from 1 species